rnacentral:lncRNA from 1 species
GUAUAAUUAUAAAUUUAGUUUUUAGUGGACAUUUUGUGUGUGUGGUUUUUUUUAUUAUCAUUAAUACUACAUAUUUAUAUAAUUGUAUUUACUAGUUUUAUGUUUUUCCAUUUUUUCGGAUACUUUUUUUGUGUUUCCCUCAAACGGAUAAGGGGAACAUCGCCAGUAAGAGGACUGAGGUUGGUCUCCAUAGGAUAUACGACUGUAUGGUGAUAAACAUAUUCACUUAUUGUUGAUAGUUAACAAAACAGAGCAUCUUUAGAAUGCCAGCUUCGGUGAUAUUUUUUUGGUUUGAUUUGACAGUCCCUUGCCUAAUGAAGAUAUCUAUAUUAUCUACGUACGUCAUUUAAAUCGUUUAAGUCUUCAAGUUUAGAAUGAGGACCACUUGAUGAAAGGAUACA